UUGCAAAAGGAAGCUUUUUUAAGUCAAUAGUAGUCAGUUGCAGCAGCUGUUUUGGGGGGCCGAGGGGUGUUAUGAUGAGUUUCUAAGAGAGGGCCUGAUCCUGCAAACCUUAAUCAAACAAAAGACUCAUUGACUUUGAGAAGAAUUUUACUCAAGUAAGGACUGCAGGAGUUGUGCCACAACACAGCAAUAUAGACUAAUUAAGUGUCAUAGGCAGUACAAAUGAAGCAGCAGCAAUUGAUUAUACAUCACUGACAGCAUAAAAUAGAACAAACAGACAGUUCCUUCCAUGAAAAGCCCAGGGUGAAGAUUCCAAUCUAUUCCAACUGAUCUUUAUUCAGAAAGAAUAAAGGGUGGAACAGGCUGACAACUUUAUUUGGCUAAUGAUUAAUAUCUUUGCUUUGUUCUGGCCUGAAGGAUAACCACAAAGUAUUAGACAAGAGAGUGAUGAAAUAUGGUUUGCAAGCAGUUUUAAGUCAGUCUUGAAAAUGCAAGGCACUAAAAUUCAUGAGGCUAUGUCAAAACCAGAUCACUAUGUUGCAGUUCU